CGGCACGGUGCCCCGUUGCCACACAUACGGAUCCAACAAAAUCUCCCGCAAAGACAACGGCGAGCCAACCACCACCAGCGUCCCGCGCUAGCUGCGGCACCGCAUGGCUGCCGUGACCAGCACCGCCUCCAUCUGCCCGGCCGCAGCCGGCGCCCUCUCUUCGCUGCCGUCCUUCAUCACGCGCAAGCCCACCAGCGGCAGCAGGAGGUUGCAGCAGGCAGCAGCGACGACAGUCUGCCACUGCCGCUCUGCUCGGGUAGAGGAGGGGCUGCUGGGCCGGAGGGACGCCUUAUUGCUCGGCAUCGUCUUCUCCGCCGCGACGCCGCCGCUGCUCGCCCCUGCCGGCGCUCUGGCGGACGAGGCCACCGCCGAGUCGCAGGAGGGCUUCACUACGUACGAGGAUGAGGCCAACAAGUUCAGCAUUCAAGUUCCGCAAGGCUGGCUGGUCGGCGCCGGCGAGGCCAGCGGCAUCAAGUCUGUCACGGCGUUCUACCCCGAGCAGGCCGCCACCGACUCCAAUGUCAGCGUCGCCAUCACCGGGAUCGGGCCGGACUUCACCAGCCUCAAGUCCUUCGGCGACGUCGAUGCCUUCGCCGAGGGUCUGGUGAACGGCCUGGACAGGAGCUGGCAGAGGCCGCCGGGGCUCGCCGCCAAGCUCAUCGACUCCAGGGCGGCAAACGGUACUACGGCCUGUACUACCUGGAGUACACGCUGCAGAACCCCGGCGAGCGACGGCGCCACAUCGUCUCGGCCAUCGGGAUGGCCUUCAACGGCUGGUACAACCGCCUCUACACUGUGACGGGCCAGUACAUCGACGACGAUGACUCGGAGAAGUACAGGCCUCAGAUAGAGAAGGCUGUUGGAUCGUUCAGGCUGACAUGAAAGAUGCGAUGUCAUCCAGCACCAGCAGCAGCAGCCGCCCACGGUACAUAAACCCUAAAUAUGUAUGCGGAGAGGUCCAGCAACAUGUUGUGCCCGAAAAUUGACACCUUGCCAUUUCGAUGAGACAAGACAAGGCAUGUGCCUAUUGCCCUAUUCCAAUUCUUGAGCACUGUAACACUGCCAAUAUGCAGAGUAUAUGUUUUCUGCCUGUUGAGGUGGAUACAAAUGCAUGCUUUUUUUUUAUUAAUAACUCAUGUGUAACACUGCUGCCUUUUUUAUUCUCUUUUCAAGGCAAAUGCCCUCUCAUUUCCAUGUGAAAUCCUAUAUGAUUCCUCCGAAA